rnacentral:rRNA from 1 species
CCUACGGGGGGCAGCAGUGGGGGAUAUUGCACAAUGGGGGAAACCCUGAUGCAGCGACGCCGCGUGGGUGAAGAAGCGCCUCGGCGCGUAAAGCCCUGUCAGCAGGGAAGAAAAUGACGGUACCUGAAGAAGAAGCCCCGGCUAACUACGUGCCAGCAGCCGCGGUAAUACGUAGGGGGCAAGCGUUAUCCGGAUUUACUGGGUGUAAAGGGAGCGUAGACGGUUACGCAAGUCUGGAGUGAAAGGCGGGGGCCCAACCCCCGGACUGCUUUGGAAACUGUAUAACUGGAGUGCAGGAGAGGUAA